rnacentral:rRNA from 1 species
UACGUAGGGUGCGAGCGUUGUCCGGAAUUAUUGGGCGUAAAGAGCUCGUAGGCGGUCUGUCGCGUCGGCUGUGAAAACCCGGAGCUCAACUCCGGGCCUGCAGUCGAUACGGGCAAACUGGAGUUCGGCAGGGGAGACUGGAAUUCCUGGUGUAGCGGUGAAAUGCGCAGAUAUCAGGAGGAACACCGGUGGCGAAGGCGGGUCUCUGGGCCGAUACUGACGCUGAGGAGCGAAAGCGUGGGGAGCGAACAGG